rnacentral:rRNA from 1 species
UACGGAGGGUGCGAGCGUUGUCCGGAAUCACUGGGCGUAAAGGGCGCGUAGGCGGCGCGGUAAGCACGCGGUGAAAGCCCGGGGCUCAACCCCGGGUCGGCCGUGCGGACUGCCGCGCUGGAGCACUGUAGAGGCGGGCGGAAUUCCGGGUGGAGCGGUGGAAUGCGUAGAGAUCCGGAAGAACACCGGUGGCGAAGGCGGCCCGCUGGGCAGUGGCUGACGCUGAGGCGCGACAGCGUGGGGAGCAAACAGG